CCUACGGGAGGCAGCAGUGGGGAAUAUUGCACAAUGGGCGCAAGCCUGAUGCAGCCAUGCCGCGUGUAUGAAGAAGGCCCUAGGGUUGUAAAGUACUUUCAGUCGGGAGGAAGGCGUUGAUGCUAAUAUCAUCAGCGAUUGACGUUACCGACAGAAGAAGCACCGGCUAACUCCGUGCCAGCAGCCGCGGUAAUACGGAGGGUGCAAGCGUUAAUCGGAAUUACUGGGCGUAAAGCGCACGCAGGCGGUUGAUUAAGUUAGAUGUGAAAUCCCCGGGCUUAACCUGGGAAUGGCAUCUAAGACUGGUCAGCUAGAGUCUUGUAGAGGGGGGUAGAAUUCCAUGUGUAGCGGUGAAAUGCGUAGAGAUGUGGAGGAAUACCGGUGGCGAAGGCGGCCCCCUGGACAAAGACUGACGCUCAGGUGCGAAAGCGUGGGGAGCAAACAGGAUUAGAUACCCCGGUAGUC
rnacentral:rRNA from 1 species